rnacentral:rRNA from 1 species
UACAGAGGUCUCAAGCGUUGUUCGGAUUCAUUGGGCGUAAAGGGUGCGUAGGCGGCGCGGUAAGUCGGGUGUGAAAUCUCGGGGCUUAACCCGGAAACUGCCAUUGAUACUAUUUGUCUUGAAUACCGUGGAGGUCAGCGGAAUAUGUCAUGUAGCGGUGAAAUGCUUAGAUAUGACAUAGAACACCAAUUGCGAAGGCAGCUGGCUACACGAAUAUUGACACUGAUGCACGAAAGCGUGGGGAUCAAACAGG